GGCAGUGUAGCAUAGUGGUAAGGAGCGGGGCUCACAACCAAAAGGUUUCAGGUUCGAUUCCCCGCUCAGGCA
rnacentral:tRNA from 1 species